rnacentral:piRNA from 1 species
UAAUUACAGAGAAGCAGAAAAGCAAUGUGCA